GUGAGCAUAAGGUGAGCAAUGUCCAUAAACAACCAGGCAAGCAAAAGUAGCAUAGGCCUGUCCAAGCCAAAGUCUGUUUAAUGAAAAAUAAAUGCUUCAACUUAUCAUGCUAUUAGGAAAUACACAUAAAAACCAUGAUGUAGGAGUUGAGCUGGCAACUCACCAGCAACAGUAGAAAGGCUCUCAGGAACUUUUGGAAUAUCUCAUCUCCAGAAAGGAAGACAAAUGCUGAGAACACCUAUGCUUAUCCUAAAAGCUGGCAAGUUGACGAAAGGACCUUCCCGUCACUAAGGAAAAACCUGAAUCCAAAACCAAGAGGGGAAGUUGGUGCCCCCACAGCCUGUAUGUACCAGAACCCCUCACUGGAAUAACUUGGUCUCUUAAAGCAGAUACUGUGCAUUUCUCUACCCACUUUUUUGUGGGUGCUUAUAACAUGUUAUAACCCUUGUAUCCAUUGCUAGCACUAUACAUGGGAAAUAAUACAAUGGAAAUAAAUGGAUUGUAUAUAUUA